UGGCACUGAGCUCGGAGGAGUGCAGGGACAGAAUUUAUAGUCACCAAGCGGCUCUUUGCCCGGCGUCUGCCCGGCCAGGUACUGUUACAUCCCCGAAGUGCCCUGGAAAUGCAACGGCCACCUGAACAGAUUCGUGAAUGAUUCUGGCUUACCCAUCCUGAGGCACAAGGCUGUGGCUGAAUGAUGUGCGGACCGCACCGUGUUAGGACUGAUCGAGCCUGGAUCAUGGACCAUGGGAGCCAUAUGCAUACAAGAAGUAGUUUCCUAAUGGAAUCGAAAGAAGGAUACUGAUUCGUAGGCGUGCAGGGCCAGAGUCCAGCAAACAGCAGGAGAAGAGGAGCCAUCUCUGGCUUUGUGCCUCCCCUCAUGAUACCACGAAGAACACUGGAUCAAGGGACCUAACUCUCAUUUCAGGGAGUGCCAACCAUGUUACCUAAAAUCUUCCGUUCUUUCUCAUUGGAAGAUCUAGGAACAAGGAACCCAAGCAAGAUUUUUUUGUCUGGCUCCUGAUUUUCAGCUGAGGGUAAGACUGACAGUGUGCUUAGUUCCGCAUCACCUAAGUACAAAGAGCUCCAGCCAAAGCCCCAUGGAGAAGGACACCUACAGGGGAAUUGGUUCUACCCCCUCGCCACACCCAGCACCUCACCCGUCAUCAAAGAACAACAGCGCCAUAUGUGGAGAGAGGUCAAGGGGUAGGAUUUCAACUCCAGCCGUGUCUGCCCCUGAACCUCUGCACCAGAGAAAAGUAGAGUUGAGAGGAGGUGGUUUGGUGAGCACUGCCAGGUAGAGCAUGACUGCACGCUCCCGCUCUGGCUCCCGUGUUCUGGUUUCAAGAAGUAAGAAUGAUGAAUCCGCAUGCACCUGCAGCCCUGAGAGUAGACUGCGGCAGGAAGCUGAGCUGGGAGCUUCAGGUACAGAGAACACAAGUAUCAUAGGUACACGGUACAAGGUCCCCGGGGCUCAUCAAUGGGAAAAACAGACAGCUGUGAGCUCCUGGUAGGUAGAGCCCUCCUGAGGCCCGUGGGCAAUGAGAGAGGACAGCAGUUGAGAUGCCCCAGGGAGGAGGCUGCCACCAUCUGCAGUCAAAGAUAUAGACAUCUUUCUUUUCUGUCUCUCACUGCUCUAACUAGGAUUGGAGAGACAGAGCAAGGGGACAGGUGCAUGACAGCACCCCAUACCCCCACCUUCACUCCAGCCACCAGAAGCUCAUCUCCUAUCUCCUCUGAGAGAGCAAAAGGAAAAGAACCCAAAUGACUCUCCAAAGUACCAAAAGUGACUACAAAGCUGUAAAAUCUGGCCGAAUUACCAUUAAAGGACCUCACGGGAAUGGGGACUCAGCAUUGGGGGGAAAUACGUUUGUACUGUGCUCAUUGAGCUCAAUGACCUGGGUACCCUGUUUCCCACCUGCUACGACAGCCUUACGUAGUGUUGGAAUGAUAAAGUGAGAUUUCAUUUUACACUUUUCCUUCCCUGUUGAGACAUCUCUAGAAAAGCCUUACAGCAAAAUACUUACCCGUUCAAUCAUAUAAGAAGCCCAAGGCUGCACGUUUCUGAGGCAAGAAGGAGGAAUGUAGGAUUAGGGUGCCAGUCAACAC